GACGAACGCUGGCGGCGUGCUUAACACAUGCAAGUCGAACGGAAAGGCCCUGCGCUUGCGGGGUGCUCGUGUGGCGAACGGGUGAGUAACACGUGAGUAUCAUGCCCCUGUCUUUGGGAUAACAUCUGGGAACUGGGGAUCAUAUCGGAUAGAAGAUCCUGAUGCACGGUGGGGGAUGGAAAGUUUCGGCGGUUCGGGAUGGUCUCGCGGCUUACCAGCUUGAUAGGGAGGUAGUGGAUUACCAAGCCUUUGACGGGUAGCCGGCCUAAGAGGGUGACCGGCCACAUUGGGACUGAGAUACGGCGCAGACGCCUACGGGACGCAGCAGUGGGGAGUAUUGCGCAAUGGGCGGAAGCCUGAGGCAGCGACGCCGCGUGCGGGAUGACGGCCUUCGAGUGAUAAACCGCUUUCGCAUGUGACGAAGCGGGAGUGACGGUAAUGGGUAAAGAAGCACCGGCUAACUACGUG
rnacentral:rRNA from 1 species